rnacentral:rRNA from 1 species
UACGUAGGUCCCGAGCGUUGUCCGGAUUUAUUGGGUUUAAAGGGUGCGUAGGCGGACUGUCAAGUCAGCGGUAAAAUUGAGAGGCUCAACCUCUUCCCGCCGUUGAAACUGGUGGUCUUGAGUGGAUGAGAAGUACGCGGAAUGCGUGGUGUAGCGGUGAAAUGCAUAGAUAUCACGCAGAACUCCGAUUGCGAAGGUAGCGUACCGGCAUCCAACUGACGCUGAGGCACGAAAGCGUGGGGAUCAAACAGG